rnacentral:rRNA from 1 species
GAUGAACGCUGGCGGCGUGCUUAACACAUGCAAGUCGAACGGUGAACGAGGGAGCUUGCUCCCUCCGGAUAAGUGGCGAACGGGUGAGUAACACGUGAGCAAUCUGCCCUGGACUCUGGGAUAAGCGUUGGAAACGACGUCCAAUUACGGAUACGAGACGCGAAGGCAUCUUAAGCGUCUGGAAAGAACUUCGGUCCAGGAUGAGCUCGCGGCCUAUCAGGUAGUUGGUGAGGUAACGGCUCACCAAGCCUACGACGGGUAGCCGGCCUGAGAGGGUGACCGGCGACACUGGGACUGAGACACGGCCCAGACUCCUACGGGAGGCAACAGUGGGGAAUAUUGCACAAUGGGCGCAAGCCUGAUGCAGCAACGCCGCGUGAGGGACGACGGCCUUCGGGUUGUAAACCUCUUUUAGCAGGGAAGAAGCGAAAGUGACGGUACCUGCAGAAAAAGCACCGGCUAACUACGUGCCAGCCGCCGCGGUAAUAC